rnacentral:rRNA from 1 species
UACGUAGGGUGCAAGCGUUGUCCGGAUUUAUUGGGCGUAAAGAGCUCGUAGGCGGCUUGGUAAGUCGGAAGUUAAAACGGGAGGCUCAACCUCUUGUCGCUUUCGAUACUGCCAUGGCUUGAGUUUGGUAGGGGAUGACGGAAUUCCUGGUGUAGCGGUGAAAUGCGGCAGAAUAUCAGGAGGAACACCGGUGGCGAAGGCGGGUCUCGUGGGCCGAUGACUGACGCUGAGGAGCGAAAGCGUGGGGAGGCGAACAGG